rnacentral:tRNA from 1 species
GGGGGUAUGGCGGAAUGGUAGACGCUACGGACUUAAAAUCCGUUGGUCUUUCAAGACCGUGAGGGUUCAAGUCCCUCUACCCCCA